rnacentral:tRNA from 1 species
AGCGCAUUGGCGAAGCGGUUAACGCACCGGACUUUGACUCCGUUAUACGUGGGUUCGAAUCCCACAUGCGCCG